rnacentral:rRNA from 1 species
GACGAACGCUGGCGGCGUGCUUAACACAUGCAAGUGGAGCGACGAACCAGGGCUUGCCCUGGGGCAAAGCCGCGAACGGGUGAGUAUCACGUGGGUAACGUACCCCGAUGACCGGGACAACCCGAGGAAACUCGGGCUAAUACCGGAUGUGCUGUGUGGCCCCAAGACCACUCAGUAAAGGAAGCUUCGGCCUCCGCAUUGGGAGCGGCCCGCGGCCCAUUAGCUUGUUGGUGAGGUAACGGCUCACCAAGGCAACGAUGGGUAGCUGGUCUGAGAGGACGAUCAGCCACACUGGGACUGAGACACGGCCCAGACUCCUACGGGAGGCUG